UACGUAGGUGACAAGCGUUGUCCGGAUUUACUGGGCGUAAAGAGCGCGCAGGCGGUCGUUCAAGUCGAGUGUGAAAGCCCCCGGCUCAACUGGGGAGGGUCAUUCGAUACUGAUCGACUCGAAGGCAGGAGAGGGAAGCGGAAUUCCCGGUGUAGUGGUGAAAUGCGUAGAUAUCGGGAGGAACACCAGUGGCGAAGGCGGCUUCCUGGCCUGUUCUUGACGCUGAGGCGCGAAAGCUAGGGGAGCAAACGGG
rnacentral:rRNA from 2 species